CCCAGUGACACCCGCCCGGCCUUGGGCUGCAGGGACGUCACCCGGGGAGGGACCCAGGCGUCCGGGAGGGGACCCAGGUGUCCACAGGGGACCCAGGUGUCUGGGAGAGGACCCAGGCGUCCGGGAGGGGACCCAGGCAUCCAGGGACUCCCCUCCUGAUGUCCCCCCACCCGUGUCCCCCGUGUCCCCUCCAUGUCCCCAGUGUCCCAUGUUCUCCAUGUCCCUGAUGUCCCCAACUCCCUCCAUGACCCCCCAUUUGUGUCCCCAAUACCCCCCAACAGUGUCCCCAUCCUUGUUCCCAUGUCCCUCCAUGUCCCCGUGUCCCCAAUGUUCCCACCAUCCCCAUCGCAAUGUCCCCCAAGUCCAUGGUCCCCAUGUCCCAAUGUCACCCCCUAUCCCCAAUGUCCCCCCCGUCCCCAUCCCAAUGCCCCCCGGUCCCCAUGUCCCAAUGUCACCCCCUGUCCCCAAUGUCCUCCCCAUCCCCAUGUCCCCAAGGUCCCCUCUCCCCAUGUCCUCCCACAUCUUCCUGUGUCCCCAAUGUCCCCCCCAUCCCGAUCCCAAUGUCCCCAGGUCCCCAUGUCCCCCCCUGUCCCCUCUCCCUGUGUCUUCCUGUGUCCCCAAUGUCCCCCACGUCCAUGGUCCCCAUGUCCCAAUGUCACCCCCUGUCCCUGAUGUCCCCAAUGUCCCCCCCAUCCCCAUCCCAAUGCCCCCCAGUCCCCAUGUCACCCCCUGUCCCCAAUGUCCCCCUUGUCCCCCAGCUCCCCAUGUCCCAAUGUCACCCCAUCCCCGAUGGUCCCCAUGUCCCCUCUCCCCAUGUCCUCCCACACCUUCCUGUGUCCCCAAUGUCCCCCCCAUCCCGAUCCCAAUGUCCCCAGGUCCCCAUGUCCCAAUGUCCCCCCCUGUCCCCUCUCCCCAUGUCUUCCUGUGUCCCCAAUGUCCCCCACGUCCAUGGUCCCCAUGUCCCAAUGUCCCCCCCAUCCCCAUCCCAAUGCCCCCCAGUCCCCAUGUCCCCCCCUGUCCCCAAUGUCCCCCUUGUCCCCCAGCUCCCCAUAUCCCAAUGUCACCCCCUGUCCCUGAUGUCCCCAAUGUCCCCAUGUUCCAGUGUCCCCCCCUUGUCCCCAGAUCCUGAGCAACGCGACCCCUCGGGUUCCACAUGCGCAUUUAUAAUAAUAAUAAUAAUAAUAAUUAUAAUAAUAAUAACAAUAAUAAUAAUUAAUAAUGACGACGCUAACGAGGGGGGAGGAGCCGCCGCACCCGCAAUGCACUAAAACUGCACCUGCUGCCACCCGGGGACACGUGGGGACACGCGGGGACCGCGCGACUGUCCCCGCGUCCCCAGCCCUGAUUGUCACCGUGUCACCACGUCCCUGUCCCCACGGGGCGCCCGCCGCGUCCCCACGGGUCGCAUCCCCACGGUGUCCCUGUGUCACAGCCCCGUGACGUGUCCCCACAUUGUCCCUCUGUCACAUCCACGCCGUGUCCCUCCGCGUCACAUCCCCGUGACGUGUCCCCACGUUGUCCCUCCGUGUGACAUCCCCGAGCCAUCUGCCACCGCUCCGUGUCACCCGUGUCACCUCCGCAUUGUCCUUCAGCGCUUUGUCCCCGUGUCACAUCCCGGUGCCACCUCUUCACUAUGUCCCCAUGUCACAUCCCGGUGUCACAUCCCAGUGCCACCUCUUCACUAUGUCCCCAUGUCACAUCCUGGUGCCACCUCCGCGUCUUGUCCCCGUGUCACCUCCACAUCUUGUCCUCAUGUCACAUCCCGGUGCCACCUCUUCGCCAUGUCCCCAUGUCACAUCCCGGUGUCACCUCUUCGCCGUGUCCCCAUGUCACAUCCCGGUGUCACCUCUUCACCGUGUCCCCAUGCCACAUCCCAGUGUCACAUCCCAGUGUCACCUCUUUGCCGUGUCCCCAUGUCACAUCCCGGUGUCACCUCCGUGUCUUGUUCUUGUGUCACAUCUCGGUGUCGUGUCACAUCCCAGUGCCACCUCUUCACCGUGUCCCCAUGUCACAUCCCGGUGUCACCUCCGUGUCUUGUCCCCAUGUCACAUCCCAGUGCCACCUCUUUGCCGUGUCACAUCUCGAUGCCACUUCCACGUCUUGUCCUCGUGUCACAUCCCGGUGCCACCUCUUCAUGUCCCCAUGUCACAUCCAGUGCCACCUCUUCAUGUCCCCAUGUCACAUCCUGGUGUCACCUCCGUGUCUUGUCCUCGUGUCACAUCCCGGUGCCACCUCUUCGCUGUGUCCCCGUGUCACAUCCCAGUGUCACCUCUUCGCCGUGUCCCCAUGUCCCAUCCAUCCUUGUGCCAUCCGUGUCACCUGCCGUGUCCCCACGCCGUCCGUGCGACGUCCUCGUGCCAUCCCGGUGCCACACGCUCUCGUCACGUCACCUGCCGUGUCCCCUCGGUGCCACCUCCGCGUUGGCCUCGCGCCGUGUCCCCAGUGUCCCCGUGUCACCUCUGUGUCCCCA